UUAGAUCACCGAAGUCAAGCAUCAUUGGGCGCCGUCAGUACUUGGGUGGGUGACCACCUGGGAACACGGCGUGCCGUU